UACAGAGGUCUCAAGCGUUGUUCGGAUUCAUUGGGCGUAAAGGGUGCGUAGGCGGCGCGGUAAGUCGGGUGUGAAAUCUCGGAGCUUAACUCCGAAACUGCAUUCGAUACUGCCGUGCUUGAGGACUAGAGAGGAGACUGGAAUUUACGGUGUAGCGGUGAAAUGCGUAGAUAUCGUAAGGAAGACCAGUGGCGAAGGCGGGUCUCUGGACAGUUCCUGACACUGAGGCACGAAGGCCAGGGGAGCAAACGGG
rnacentral:rRNA from 1 species